rnacentral:rRNA from 1 species
UACAGAGGGGGCAAGCGUUAUUCGGAAUUAUUGGGCGUAAAGGGCGCGUAGGCGGCUUUGCAAGUGACGGGUGAAAUCCCUCGGCUUAACCGAGGAACUGCCUGUCAAACUGCAUGGCUUGAGACCGGGAGAGGUGAGUGGAAUUCCCAGUGUAGCGGUGAAAUGCGUAGAUAUUGGGAGGAACACCAGUGGCGAAGGCGGCUCACUGGACUGGUACUGACGCUGAUGCGCGAAAGCGUGGGGAGCAAACAGG